rnacentral:rRNA from 1 species
AGAGUUUGAUCCUGGCUCAGGAUGAACGCUAGCGAUAGGCUUAACACAUGCAAGUCGAGGGGCAGCAUGGUCUUAGCUUGCUAAGACUGAUGGCGACCGGCGCACGGGUGCGUAACGCGUAUGCAACUUGCCUCACAGAGGGGGAUAACCCGUCGAAAGACGGACUAAUACCGCGUACACUCCACCUUGGGCAUCCAAGGUAGAGGAAAUGAAAUUCGCUGUGAGAUAGGCAUGCGUCCCAUUAGCUAGUUGGUGAGGUAACGGCUCACCAAGGCGACGAUGGGUAGGGGAACUGAGAGGUUGAACCCCCACACUGGUACUGAGACACGGACCAGACUCCUACGGGAGGCAGCAGUGAGGAAUAUUGGUCAAUGGGCGAGAGCCUGAACCAGCCAAGUCGCGUGAAGGAUGACUGUCUUAUGGAUUGUAAACUUCUUUUAUACGGGAAUAACAAGAGUCACGUGUGACUCCCUGCAUGUACCGUAUGAAUAAGCAUCGGCUAACUCCGUGCCAGCAGCCGCGGUAAUACGGAGGAUGCGAGCGUUAUCCGGAUUUAUUGGGUUUAAAGGGUGCGUAGGCGGCCUGUUAAGUCAGCGGUGAAAUCUAGGAGCUUAACUCCUAAAUUGCCAUUGAUACUGGCGGGCUUGAGUGUAGAUGAGGUAGGCGGAAUGCGUGGUGUAGCGGUGGAAUGCAUAGAUAUCACGCAGAACUCCGAUUGCGAAGGCAGCUUACUAAGGUACAACUGACGCUGAAGCACGAAAGCGUGGGUAUCAAACAGGAUUAGAUACCCUGGUAGUCCACGCAGUAAACGAUGAUUACUAGGAGUUUGCGAUAUACCGUCAAGCUUCCACAGCGAAAGCGUUAAGUAAUCCACCUGGGGAGUACGCCGGCAACGGUGAAACUCAAAGGAAUUGACGGGGGCCCG